AACGAACGCUGGCGGCAUGCCUAACACAUGCAAGUCGAACGAGACCUUCGGGUCUAGUGGCGCACGGGUGCGUAACGCGUGGGAACCUGCCCUUAGGUUCGGAAUAACUCCCCGACAGGGGUGCUAAUACCGGAUCAUGUCUUCUGACCAAAGAUUUAUCGCCUUUGGAUGGGCCCGCGUUGGAUUAGCUAGUUGUUAGGGUAAAAGCCUACCAAGGCGACGAUCCAUAGCUGGGCUGAGAGGAUGAUCAGCCACACUGGGACUGAGACACGGCCCAGACUCCUACGGGAGGCAGCAGUGGGGAAUAUUGCACAAUGGGCGAAAGCCUGAUCCAGCAAUGCCGCGUGAGUGAUGAAGGCCUUAGGGUUGUAAAGCUCUUUUACCCGGGAUGAUAAUGACAGUACCGGGAGAAUAAGCCCCGGCUAACUCCGUG
rnacentral:rRNA from 1 species